GUGUCAGCCGCCGCGGUAAUACAGAGGGGGCAAGCGUUGUUCGGAAUUACUGGGCGUAAAGGGCGCGUAGGCGGCCUUCUAAGUCAGACGUGAAAUCCCUCGGCUCAACCGGGGAACUGCGUCUGAGACUGGAAGGCUUGAAUCCGGGAGAGGGAUGUGGAAUUCCAGGUGUAGCGGUGAAAUGCGUAGAUAUCUGGAGGAACACCGGUGGCGAAGGCGGCAUCCUGGACCGGUAUUGACGCUGAGGCGCGAAAGCCAGGGGAGCAAACGGGAUUAGAAACCCCUGUAGUCC
rnacentral:rRNA from 1 species